rnacentral:rRNA from 1 species
GGGUUGUGAGGUUAAGCGACUAAGCGUACACGGUGGAUGCCCUGGCAGUCAGAGGCGAUGAAGGACGUGCUAAUCUGCGAUAAGCGUCGGUAAGGUGAUAUGAACCGUUAUAACCGGCGAUUUCCGAAUGGGGAAACCCAGUGUGUUUCGACACACUAUCAUUAACUGAAUCCAUAGGUUAAUGAGGCGAACCGGGGGAACUGAAACAUCUAAGUACCCCGAGGAAAAGAAAUCAACCGAGAUUCCCCCAGUAGCGGCGAGCGAACGGGGAGGAGCCCAGAGCCUGAAUCAGUGUGUGUGUUAGUGGAAGCGUCUGGAAAGGCGCGCGAUACAGGGUGACAGCCCCGUACACAAAAAUGCACAUGCUGUGAGCUCGAUGAGUAGGGCGGGACACGUGGUAUCCUGUCUGAAUAUGGGGGGACCAUCCUCCAAGGCUAAAUACUCCUGACUGACCGAUAGUGAACCAGUACCGUGAGGGAAAGGCGAAAAGAACCCCGGCGAGGGGAGUGAAAAAGAACCUGAAACCGUGUACGUACAAGCAGUGGGAGCACGCUUAGGCGUGUGACUGCGUACCUUUUGUAUAAUGGGUCAGCGACUUAUAUUCUGUAGCAAGGUUAACCGAAUAGGGGAGCCGAAGGGAAACCGAGUCUUAACUGGGCGUUAAGUUGCAGGGUAUAGACCCGAAACCCGGUGAUCUAGCCAUGGGCAGGUUGAAGGUUGGGUAACACUAACUGGAGGACCGAACCGACUAAUGUUGAAAAAUUAGCGGAUGACUUGUGGCUGGGGGUGAAAGGCCAAUCAAACCGGGAGAUAGCUGGUUCUCCCCGAAAGCUAUUUAGGUAGCGCCUCGUGAAUUCAUCUCCGGGGGUAGAGCACUGUUUCGGCAAGGGGGUCAUCCCGACUUACCAACCCGAUGCAAACUGCGAAUACCGGAGAAUGUUAUCACGGGAGACACACGGCGGGUGCUAACGUCCGUCGUGAAGAGGGAAACAACCCAGACCGCCAGCUAAGGUCCCAAAGUCAUGGUUAAGUGGGAAACGAUGUGGGAAGGCCCAGACAGCCAGGAUGUUGGCUUAGAAGCAGCCAUCAUUUAAAGAAAGCGUAAUAGCUCACUGGUCGAGUCGGCCUGCGCGGAAGAUGUAACGGGGCUAAACCAUGCACCGAAGCUGCGGCAGCGACGCUUAUGCGUUGUUGGGUAGGGGAGCGUUCUGUAAGCCUGUGAAGGUGUGCUGUGAGGCAUGCUGGAGGUAUCAGAAGUGCGAAUGCUGACAUAAGUAACGAUAAAGCGGGUGAAAAGCCCGCUCGCCGGAAGACCAAGGGUUCCUGUCCAACGUUAAUCGGGGCAGGGUGAGUCGACCCCUAAGGCGAGGCCGAAAGGCGUAGUCGAUGGGAAACAGGUUAAUAUUCCUGUACUUGGUGUUACUGCGAAGGGGGGACGGAGAAGGCUAUGUUGGCCGGGCGACGGUUGUCCCGGUUUAAGCGUGUAGGCUGGUUUUCCAGGCAAAUCCGGAAAAUCAAGGCUGAGGCGUGAUGACGAGGCACUACGGUGCUGAAGCAACAAAUGCCCUGCUUCCAGGAAAAGCCUCUAAGCAUCAGGUAACAUCAAAUCGUACCCCAAACCGACACAGGUGGUCAGGUAGAGAAUACCAAGGCGCUUGAGAGAACUCGGGUGAAGGAACUAGGCAAAAUGGUGCCGUAACUUCGGGAGAAGGCACGCUGAUAUGUAGGUGAAGCGACUUGCUCGUGGAGCUGAAAUCAGUCGAAGAUACCAGCUGGCUGCAACUGUUUAUUAAAAACACAGCACUGUGCAAACACGAAAGUGGACGUAUACGGUGUGACGCCUGCCCGGUGCCGGAAGGUUAAUUGAUGGGGUUAGCCGCAAGGCGAAGCUCUUGAUCGAAGCCCCGGUAAACGGCGGCCGUAACUAUAACGGUCCUAAGGUAGCGAAAUUCCUUGUCGGGUAAGUUCCGACCUGCACGAAUGGCGUAAUGAUGGCCAGGCUGUCUCCACCCGAGACUCAGUGAAAUUGAACUCGCUGUGAAGAUGCAGUGUACCCGCGGCAAGACGGAAAGACCCCGUGAACCUUUACUAUAGCUUGACACUGAACAUUGAGCCUUGAUGUGUAGGAUAGGUGGGAGGCUUUGAAGUGUGGACGCCAGUCUGCAUGGAGCCGACCUUGAAAUACCACCCUUUAAUGUUUGAUGUUCUAACGUUGACCCGUAAUCCGGGUUGCGGACAGUGUCUGGUGGGUAGUUUGACUGGGGCGGUCUCCUCCUAAAGAGUAACGGAGGAGCACGAAGGUUGGCUAAUCCUGGUCGGACAUCAGGAGGUUAGUGCAAUGGCAUAAGCCAGCUUGACUGCGAGCGUGACGGCGCGAGCAGGUGCGAAAGCAGGUCAUAGUGAUCCGGUGGUUCUGAAUGGAAGGGCCAUCGCUCAACGGAUAAAAGGUACUCCGGGGAUAACAGGCUGAUACCGCCCAAGAGUUCAUAUCGACGGCGGUGUUUGGCACCUCGAUGUCGGCUCAUCACAUCCUGGGGCUGAAGUAGGUCCCAAGGGUAUGGCUGUUCGCCAUUUAAAGUGGUACGCGAGCUGGGUUUAGAACGUCGUGAGACAGUUCGGUCCCUAUCUGCCGUGGGCGCUGGAGAACUGAGGGGGGCUGCUCCUAGUACGAGAGGACCGGAGUGGACGCAUCACUGGUGUUCGGGUUGUCAUGCCAAUGGCACUGCCCGGUAGCUAAAUGCGGAAGAGAUAAGUGCUGAAAGCAUCUAAGCACGAAACUUGCCCCGAGAUGAGUUCUCCCUGACCCUUUAAGGGUCCUGAAGGAACGUUGAAGACGACGACGUUGAUAGGCCGGGUGUGUAAGCGCAGCGAUGCGUUGAGCUAACCGGUACUAAUGAACCGUGAGGCUUAACCUUACAACGCCGAAGGUGUUU